rnacentral:rRNA from 1 species
UACAGAGGUCCCAAGCGUUGUUCGGAUUCACUGGGCGUAAAGGGUGCGUAGGCGGUCGGGUAAGUCUGAUGUGAAAUCUCACAGCUUAACUGUGAAACUGCAUUGGAUACUAUCCGGCUCGAGGAAUGGAGGGGAGACUGGAAUUCUUGGUGUAGCAGUGAAAUGCGUAGAUAUCAAGUGGAACACCAGUGGCGAAGGCGAGUCUCUGGACAUUUCCUGACGCUGAGGCACGAAAGCCAGGGGAGCAAACGGG